rnacentral:rRNA from 1 species
GACGAACGCUGGCGGCGUGCUUAACACAUGCAAGUCGAGCGGUAAGGCCCCUUCGGGGGUACACGAGCGGCGAACGGGUGAGUAACACGUGAGCAAUCUGCCCAUCACAUCGGGAUAACUCCGGGAAACCGAAGCUAAUACCGAAUACGACCACCUCCGGCAUCGGAUGGUGGUGGAAAGUUCCGGCGGUGAUGGAUGAGCUCGCGGCCUAUCAGCUUGUUGGUGGGGUAACGGCCCACCAAGGCUUCGACUGGUAGCCGGCCUGAGAGGGUGACCGGCCACACUGGGACUGAGACACGACCCAGACUCCUACGGGAGGCAGCAGUGGGGAAUAUUGGACAAUGGGCGAAAGCCUGAUCCAGCAACGCCGCGUGGGGGAUGACGGCCUUCGGGUUGUAAACCUCUUUCAGCAGGGACGAAGCGCAAGUGACGGUACCUGCAGAAGAAGCACCGGCCAACUACGUG